rnacentral:rRNA from 1 species
UCCCCUUCGGGGGUGACGCUUGUGGAAUGAGCGGCGGACGGGUGAGUAACACGUGGGCAACCUGCCUGUAAGACUGGGAUAACCCCGGGAAACCGGGGCUAAUACCGGAUAAUACUUUCUUUUGCAUAAAGGAAAGUUGAAAGGCGGCUUCGGCUGUCACUUACAGAUGGGCCCGCGGCGCAUUAGCUAGUUGGUGAGGUAACGGCUCACCAAGGCGACGAUGCGUAGCCGACCUGAGAGGGUGAUCGGCCACACUGGGACUGAGACACGGCCCAGACUCCUACGGGAGGCAGCAGUAGGGAAUCUUCCGCAAUGGACGAAAGUCUGACGGAGCAACGCCGCGUGAGUGAUGAAGGUUUUCGGAUCGUAAAACUCUGUUGUUAGGGAAGAACAAGUACGAUAGUAACUGAUCGUACCUUGACGGUACCUAACCAGAAAGCCACGGCUAACUACGUGCCAGCAGCCGCGGUAAUACGUAGGUGGCAAGCGUUGUCCGGAAUUAUUGGGCGUAAAGCGCUCGCAGGCGGUCCUUUAAGUCUGAUGUGAAAUCUCGCGGCUCAACCGCGAACGGUCAUUGGAAACUGGAGGACUUGAGUACAGAACAGGAGAGUGGAAUUCCACGUGUAGCGGUGAAAUGCGUACAGAUGUGUAGGAACACCAUUG